rnacentral:sRNA from 1 species
CAGCCCCGCCUAGGGGGCGCACGGGUGCGCGGCCGGGCCCAGCGGGGUCCGCGGCUCCUCAUUCGCCCCCUUCCUCUCCUUCCCUCUCCCUCCUUCCCUGUCUCCACCUCCUAGACGCGCCCACAAGCAGGCCUGGCCGGGCCUACCCAACGCAGGGGAUCUCCCAGUGCGCGCACUCGCAGCGGGAGGACGGGGGGCGCGCACACACUCACUCAGCUCCGGAGGCCAUGGCGCGCGCUUCUCCCGGCCAACGGCUGUGGCGGCCCGCAGGUAACGGCUACGAAGGGUGGCAGGCGACCGACUCGGCCGGUGCUCGGCUCUCCCGGGCGGAGGGUGAGCGGCAACGACAAACCCGCAGACGGCCUCCCUUUCGUUUCCUCCCAGAGGCACCAGGGCGGUAGGCGGGCGGGGGACGCUAGCGCCUGAUCCGCGAGGGGGCAGCGGCAGCGACAACUCAAACGACGGCUGCAGACGCUUUGCGAAGACUGAGGCGAGAAGAGCCGAAUCAUCGGAAGGAGAGGUGCUCACAACUCAGCCAAUCAGCGCCUGCCCUGGGUACUCCCGCCCGCCUCUCCGUGCCUCCUCUCCCCAGCAACCCGCGGACCAGAGCCAAUCAGGAAAUUCGCUUGCGGCCCGGCUCCCGCCUCAGGGAUGCAACACGCCUAGUAACGCCACGUCAAUUGGCCGCCACGCUACGCUUCCUCGACGGAUUGGGACUCUCGACCAAUCAACGAAAGGAAUGGGGCCAGAUCGACUGGCGAAAGGAGAGCCUUUAACCCUGGGAGGCUGACUCUCCCACUUGGCUCCAGUUCAUUGGCUCCUGAGUUUAUCCGGCUAGAAGAACCUGGCACAAUGGAUUGAACCCUUGUAUUAGUCUAGUCCUUUUGUAGUGAUAACCCACACACCCAUUUUCYUCCAAAACCUGAGUAUGCACUCUAACCUCUCUCCUUGCUCCCUUCAAAACGCUGGCUCCAGCCACCUCUACUCCGGACUCUUUGGCUAGCAUUCCAGCUCUUAAUCCACUCUUCCCUGUUGUCAUUACACCCUCUGGUAAUCCUAAUCCCACAAGCUUUAUAGUUCCGCAGGGCUUGGAGGUAUGUGCUCCUUCUUACCAUUGGGUAUUAAUAUUAAUAGCUAUGCAAAGGACACUCAAUUCCGAAGAGGAAUCAAAAGACAACCACAGGUAGUUCUCUUGUGGCUCCGCAGGUUAAAUGACCCACGUUAUAACUGCAGGGGCCUGGGUCACUGCAGUGGCAGAGGUUCGAUCCCCGGACCAGGAACUUCCGCAUGCCUACCAUGGGCGAGGCCAAAAAAAAAAAAAAAAAAAA